rnacentral:rRNA from 1 species
UCAGUCGACUCCUACGGGGAGGCAGCAGUGGGGAAUAUUGCACAAUGGGGGAAACCCUGAUGCAGCCAUGCCGCGUGUGUGAAGAAGGACCUUCGGGUGUAAAGCACUUUCAGUAGGGAGGAAGGUAGUGUAGUUAACACCUGCAUUAUUUGACGUUACCUACAGAAGAAGCACCGGCUAACUCCGUGCCAGCAGCCGCGGUAAUACGGAGGGUGCGAGCGUUAAUCGGAAUUACUGGGCGUAAAGCGCAUGCAGGCGGCCUGUUAAGUCAGAUGUGAAAGACCCGGGGCUUAACCUCGGAAUUGCAUUUGAAACUGGCAGGCUAGAGUCUUGUAGAGGGGGGUAGGAAUUUCAGGUGUAGCGGUGAAAUGCGUAGAGAUCUGAAGGAAUACCAGUGGCGAAGGCGGCCCCCUGGACAAAGACUGACGCUCAGAUGCGAAAGCGUGGGGAGCAAACAGGAUUAGAUACCCUGGUAG